rfam:Manacus vitellinus contig1081, whole genome shotgun sequence.
CCCCUGGUGGUCUAGUGGUUAGGAUGCGGCGCUCUCACCGCUGCGGCCCAGGUUCGAUUCCCGGUCAGGGAA